GAUAAACGCUGGCGGCGCACAUAAGACAUGCAAGUCGAACGAGCUUAAUACCUUGCUUGCAAGGUAAGCGGCUAGUGGCGGACUGGUGAGUAACACGUAAGGAACCUGCCUAUUAGAGAGGAAUACCAGUGAGAAAUCAUUGCUAAUACCUCAUAUGCCUUAAUUAUCGCAUGAUAAUAGAGGGAAAGGAGCAAUCCACUAAUAGAUGGUCUUGCGGCUGAUUAACUAGUUGGUGAGAUAAAAGCCCACCAAGGUAACGAUCAGUAGCCGAACUGAGAGGUUGAACGGCCACAUUGGGACUGAGAUACGGCCCAG
rnacentral:rRNA from 1 species